AGACCCGAAACCGAGUGAUCUAGCCAUGAGCAGGUUGAAGUAAGGGUGAAACCUUAUGGAGGACCGAACCAGGACACGUUGUAAAGUGUUUGGAUGACUUGUGGCUAGCGGUGAAAUUCCAAUCGAACUCGGAGAUAGCUGGUUCUCCCCGAAAUAGGUUUAGGCCUAGCCUUUGAUGAUGUUACCUGGAGGUAGAGCACUGAAUGUGGAAUGGCGGCGUCUAGCUGUACUGACUGCAAUCAAUCUCCGAAUGCCGGGAUAAUUAAUCAAGGAGUCAGUGUGUGGGUGAUAACGUUCAUACGCGAGAGAAAAUCAAUUCAGACCGUCAGCUAAGGUCCCUAAAUGUAUGUUAAGUGGAAAAGGAUGUAGAAUUGCACUAACAGCUAGGAGGUUGGCUCAGAAGCAGCCAUCCUUUAAAGAGUGCGUAAUAGCUCACUAGUCGAGUGGUUCUGCGCCGAAAAUGUACCGGGGCUUAAACAUACUACCGAAGCUACGGAUUCAUACGUAAGUAUGAGUGGUAGGGGAGCGUUCUUAGUGCGCAGAAGAUAGAUCGAGAGGACUAUUGGAGCGCUAAGAAGUGAGAAUGCCGGUGUGAGUAACGUAAGGAGGGUGAGAAUCCCUCCCACCGAUCGACCAAGGGUUCCAGGGUAAAGUUCGUCUUCCCUGGGUAAGUCAGGACCUAAGGCGAGGCAGAAAUGCGUAGUCGAUGGACAACAGGUUUAUAUUCCUGUACCAUGUAUAUAACUGAUGGAGUGACGGAGAAAGCUAGGAAGAGCUGGUUAAUGGAUUCCAGUUUAAGUGUAAAGGUUAGUGCGUAGGAAAAUCCGCGACAUUAUAAAGACUGAAACACGACGACGAUGAUUCCCACGGGAAUUAAAGUCUUCUGAAGCUAAGCUUCCAAGAAAAACUUCUAAAGAUAUUAUAUAUAUGCCUGUACCAAGAACCAACACAGGUGGUCAAGGAGAGAAUCCUAAGGUGAGCGAGAGAACUAUGGUCAAGGAACUCGGCAAAAUGACCCCGUAACUUCGGAAUAAGGGGAGGUUUCUUCGGAAACCCGCAGUGAAUUGUCCCAGGCAACUGUUUACCAAAAACACAGGUCUCUGCUAAAGCGUAAGCUGAUGUAUAGGGGCUGACGCCUGCCCAGUGCUGGAAGGUUAAGAUGAUUUGUUAGGUGGACGAAAGUCGAUAACACCGAAGCUUUGAUUUGAAGCCCCAGUGAACGGCGGCGAUAACUAUAAUCGUCCAAAGGUAGCGAAAUUCCUUGUCAGGUAAGUUCUGACCCGCACGAAAGGCGUAAUGAUCUGGGAGCUGUCUCGACCAUAGACUCGGUGAAAUCUUAAUACCUGUGAAAAUGCAGGUUACCCGCGAUAGGACGGAAAGACCCCAUGGAGCUUUACUGUAGCUUGAUAUUGAAGUUAGGUAAUUUAUGUAGAGGAUAGGUGGUAGACUAUGAUGUAUGGACGCCAGUUCAUACGGAGUCGCCCUUGGAAUACCACCCUUAAAUUAUUUGACCUCUAACUUACUCCCGUUAUCCGGGAGGAGGACAGUGUCUGGUGGGCAGUUUGACUGGGGCGGUCGCCUCCCAAAGAGUAACGGAGGCGCUCAAAGGUUCCCUCAGAUUGGUCGGAAAUCAAUCAAAGAGUGUAAUGGUAUAAGGGAGCUUGACUGCGAGACCUACAAGUCGAGCAGGUGCGAAAGCAGGACAUAGUGAUCUGGCGGUAGAAUAUGGAAUUGCCGUCGCUUAACGGAUAAAAGUUACCCUGGGG
rnacentral:rRNA from 1 species